CGGGUGCGUAACGCGUAUAGAACCUACCUUUUACAGAGGAAUAGCCUUUAGAAAUGAAGAUUAAUGCCUCAUGGUAUUGUAGACUGGCAUCAGUUUAUAAUUAAAGAUUUAUCGGUAAAAGAUGGCUAUGCGUCCUAUUAGUUAGUUGGUAAGGUAACGGCUUACCAAGACAGCGAUAGGUAGGGGUCCUGAGAGGGAGAUCCCCCACACUGGUACUGAGACACGGACCAGACUCCUACGGGAGGCAGCAGUGAGGAAUAUUGGACAAUGGAGGAGACUCUGAUCCAGCCAUGCCGCGUGUAGGAAGAAUGCCCUAUGGGUUGUAAACUACUUUUAUACAGGAAGAAACACUGGUAUGUAUACCAGCUUGACGGUACUGUAAGAAUAAGGACCGGC
rnacentral:rRNA from 1 species